rnacentral:rRNA from 1 species
GACGAACGCUGGCGGCGUGCUUAACACAUGCAAGUCGAACGGAGUGGCGAACGGGUGAGUAUUACGUGAGUAACCUGCCCUUAACUGGGGGAUAAGCCUGGGAAACUGGGUCUAAUACUGCAUCGUUUGGGAUGGGAUCGCGGCCUAUAGGGUUGUUGGGGGGGGGAUGGCCUACCAGGGCGGUGAGGGGUAGCCGGCCUGAGAGGGUGGUGGGCCACAUUGAGGCUGAGAUACGGCCCAGACUCCAACGGGAGGCAGCAGUGGGGGAUAGUGCACAGUGGGAGCAAGCCUGAUGCAGCGACGCCGCGUGGGGGAUGAAGGCUUACGCGUUGUAAACCUCUUUCAGUACAGAACGGGUAUGGGCAGAAGAAGCGCCGGCUAACUACGUGCCAGCAGCCGCGGUAAUUC